rnacentral:rRNA from 1 species
UCAUAAUCAGUGAAAACGAGUAGGGCGGGACACGUGAUAUCCUGUCUGAAUAUGGGGGGACCAUCCUCCAAGGCUAAAUACUACUGACUGACCGAUAGUGAACCAGUACCGUGAGGGAAAGGCGAAAAGAACCCCUGUGAGGGGAGUGAAAUAGAACCUGAAACCGUGUACGUACAAGCAGUAGGAGCACCUUCGUGGUGUGACUGCGUACCUUUUGUAUAAUGGGUCAGCGACUUAAUUUUAGUAGCAAGGUUAACCGUUUAGGGGAGCCGUAGGGAAACCGAGUCUUAACUGGGCGUACAGUUGCUAGGAUUAGACCCGAAACCAGGUGAUCUAGCCAUGGGCAGGUUGAAGGUUGAGUAACAUCAACUGGAGGACCGAACCGACUAAUGUUGAAAAAUUAGCGGAUGACUUGUGGCUAGGGGUGAAAGGCCAAUCAAACCUGGAGAUAGCUGGUUCUCCCCGAAAGCUAUUUAGGUAGCGCCUCGGACGAAUACUACUGGGGGUAGAGCACUGUUAAGGCUAGGGGGUCAUCCCGACUUACCAACCCUUUGCAAACUCCGAAUACCAGUAAGUACUAUCCGGGAGACACACGGCGGGUGCUAACGUCCGUCGUGGAGAGGGAAACAACCCAGACCGCCAGCUAAGGUCCCAAAGUAUAGCUAAGUGGGAAACGAUGUGGGAAGGCUCAGACAGCCAGGAUGUUGGCUUAGAAGCAGCCAUCAUUUAAAGAAAGCGUAAUAGCUCACUGGUCGAGUCGGCCUGCGCGGAAGAUGUAACGGGGCUAAGCUAUACACCGAAGCUGCGGCUACGUACCUUAGGGUAUGUGGGGUAGGGGAGCGUUCUGUAAGCCGUUGAAGGUGGUCUGUAAGGGCUGCUGGAGGUAUCAGAAGUGCGAAUGCUGACAUGAGUAACGAUAAAGGGAGUGAAAAACUCCCUCGCCGGAAGACCAAGGGUUCCUGUCCAACGUUAAUCGGGGCAGGGUAAGUCGACUCCUAAGGCGAGGCCGAAAGGCGUAGUCGAUGGGAAACGGGUUAAUAUUCCCGUACUUCUUACAAUUGCGAUGGGGGGACGGAGAAGGCUAGGUGGGCCUGGCGACGGUUGUCCAGGUUCAAGUAUGUAGGCGGAAAGUUUAGGUAAAUCCGGACUUUCAUUAACGCUGAGAUACGAUGUCGAGCUACUACGGUAGUGAAGUCAUUGAUGCCAUGCUUCCAGGAAAAGCCUCUAAGCUUCAGAUUGUAAGGAAUCGUACCCCAAACCGACACAGGUGGUCGGGUAGAGAAUACCAAGGCGCUUGAGAGAACUCGGGUGAAGGAACUAGGCAAAAUGGUACCGUAACUUCGGGAGAAGGUACGCUCUUAUCAGUGAAGUCCCUUGCGGAUGGAGCAGACGAGAGUCGCAGAUACCAGGUGGCUGCAACUGUUUAUUAAAAACACAGCACUGUGCAAAAUCGUAAGAUGACGUAUACGGUGUGACGCCUGCCCGGUGCCGGAAGGUUAAUUGAUGGGGUUAGACUUCGGUCGAAGCUCUUGAUCGAAGCCCCGGUAAACGGCGGCCGUAACUAUAACGGUCCUAAGGUAGCGAAAUUCCUUGUCGGGUAAGUUCCGACCUGCACGAAUGGCGUAAUGAUGGCCACGCUGUCUCCACCCGAGACUCAGUGAAAUUGAAAUCGCUGUGAAGAUGCAGUGUACCCGCGGCUAGACGGAAAGACCCCGUGAACCUUUACUACAGCUUGGCACUGAACAUUGAACCUACAUGUGUAGGAUAGGUGGGAGACUAUGAAA